rnacentral:tRNA from 1 species
GUAAGGGGCUGGGCCCCACGUGGUCUGCAAAACCAUGCUCGCGCUUGUUAAACGAGUGGUGGCGGGUUCGAUUCCCACCACCA